rnacentral:SRP_RNA from 1 species
GCUGAGCUCGGUAACGUGGGCUUGUAACCCGAGUGGGGGCUUUAAGGUGAUGGGACGUUGACUCAGCCUAGAAGGUCGGCUCCAGUAUGGCUCUUAUCUGGCCUGCCCGUUCCAAGCCAGGAGUUGAGCCAAGCCAUUCGGGUGAAGACCUGGGUGGCUUGGCUCCUAGAGUGGAGGGUAAAGCGUGAGGCUGGUCACAGAACAGCGAUCACCUUCCUCUCUUGGCAGUGGAAGGAUAACAGGCUGGUGUCAUCUGGGAACCAUAUGGCCCGAUGGGCUGGUCCUAAUUGGACCAUCACUUU